rnacentral:rRNA from 1 species
GAUGAACGCUGGCUACAGGCUUAACACAUGCAAGUCGAGGGGAAACGACGGGGAAGCUUGCUUCCCCGGGCGUCGACCGGCGCACGGGUGAGUAACGCGUAUCCAACCUGCCUCUGACUGAGGGAUAACCCGUCGAAAGUCGGCCUAAUACCUCAUGGCAUCGUCUGCGGGCAUCCAACGACGAUUAAAGAUUUCAUCGGUCAGGGAUGGGGAUGCGUCUGAUUAGCUUGUUGGCGGGGUAACGGCCCACCAAGGCUACGAUCAGUAGGGGUUCUGAGAGGAAGGUCACCCACAUUGGAACUGAGACACGGUCCAAACUCCUACGGGAGGCAGCAGUGAGGAAUAUUGGUCAAUGGGCGGGAGCCUGAACCAGCCAAGUAGCGUGCAGGAUGACGGCCCUAUGGGUUGUAAACUGCUUUUAUGCGGGGAUAAAGUGAGGGACGUGUCCUUCAUUGCAGGUACCGCAUGAAUAAGGACCGGCUAAUUCCGUG